rnacentral:rRNA from 1 species
CCUACGGGAGGCAGCAGUGAGGAAUAUUGGUCAAUGGACGAGAGUCUGAACCAGCCAAGUAGCGUGAAGGAUGACUGCCCUAUGGGUUGUAAACUUCUUUUAUAUGGGAAUAAAAUGUUCCACGUGUGGGAUUUUGUAUGUACCAUAUGAAUAAGGAUCGGCUAACUCCGUGCCAGCAGCCGCGGUAAUACGGAGGCUCCGAGCGUUAUCCGGAUUUAUUGGGUGUAAAGGGAGCGUAGGUGGAUUGUUAAGUCAGUUGUGAAAGUUUGCGGCUCAACCGUAAAAUUGCAGUUGAAACUGGCAGUCUGGAGUGCGGUAGAGGUAGGCGGAAUUCGUGGUGUAGCGGUGAAAUGCUUAGAUAUCACGAAGAACUCCGAUUGCGAAGGCAGUUCACUGGACUGCAACUGACACUGAGGCUCGAAAGUGUGGGUAUCAAACAGGAUUAGAUACCCUUGUAGUC